CAGGGAGACAACAAAAUGUUUAAUAUUAUUAUUUUGUCACCUUAGGUCGAUCGGUAUCUCACGUUCUUAAUUUGUUAAGAAUUUCAUUUCCUAAGUUUUUCUAGGUCACACCCAUUAUUUUUCCUGGGCCAUUAGCUCAGGUGGUUAGAGCGCACCCCUGAUAAGGGUGAGGUCCCUGGUUCAAGUCCAGGAUGGCCCAUAUCUCUAUGUUGGGGGUAUAGCUCAGUUGGUAGAGCGCCUGCUUUGCAAGCAGGAUGUCAGCGGUUCGAGUCCGCUUACCUCCACUGAUUACCACCUCUUCCAUAACCGGUAGAAAGGAAAUGUAUUGAGUUGUGAUCAAAUUCUGAGCGAAUCUAGCUUCCUAAUGAAAAUAUUAAGAUGCUGGACUCAUUGAAUUAAUUUCAUUGUUUUCAGAGAACCUUGACAACUGCAUAGAUUAUUUUUUUAAAGACAAUAAGCAUCUUUAAUGAUGCAGAUUUAUUAUUUGUGCGAAUGCAUUAAUAACAAUUCUAUUAAGCUGAUGCUUCAAUUUUGAAGUUAUU
rnacentral:tRNA from 1 species